UGGACCAAUGAUAGAAGUGUGUUAGGAACCAAGGAUUAUUAGUAAUCCAAUUCUGUGUCUUUGAGGUCUAAA
rnacentral:snoRNA from 1 species